UGGGGCGGCACAUCUGUUAAA
rnacentral:siRNA from 1 species